rnacentral:rRNA from 1 species
UCCAGACUCCUACGGGAGGCAGCAGUGGGGAAUAUUGCACAAUGGGGGAAACCCUGAUGCAGCGACGCCGCGUGAGUGAGGAAGUAUUUCGGUAUGUAAAGCUCUAUCAGCAGGGAAGAAAAUGACGGUACCUGACUAAGAAGCCCCGGCUAACUACGUGCCAGCAGCCGCGGUAAUACGUAGGGGGCAAGCGUUAUCCGGAUUUACUGGGUGUAAAGGGAGCGUAGACGGAAUUGCAAGUCUGAUGUGAAAAUCCGGGGCCCAACCCCGGAACUGCAUUGGAAACUGUAUUUCUAGAGUGUCGGAGAGGCAAGUGGAAUUCCUGGUGUAGCGGUGAAAUGCGUAGAUAUCAGGAGGAACACCGGCGGCGAAGGCGGCUUACUGGACGGCAACUGACGUUGAGGCCCGAAAGCGUGGGGAGCGAACAGGAUUAGAUACCCCAGUA